rnacentral:rRNA from 1 species
UACGUAGGGUCCAAGCGUUGUCCGGAUUUAUUGGGCGUAAAGAGCUCGUAGGCGGCUCGGUAAGUCGGAUGUGAAAACUCGGGGCUCAACCCCGAGACGCCAUCCGAUACUGCUGUGGCUUGAGUCUGGUAGGGGAGAUCGGAAUUCCUGGUGUAGCGGUGAAAUGCGCAGAUAUCAGGAGGAACACCGGUGGCGAAGGCGGGUCUCUGGGCCGAUACUGACGCUGAGGAGCGAAAGCGUGGGGAGCGAACAGG